AGAUUGAACGCUGGCGGCAUGCCUUACACAUGCAAGUCGAACGGCAGCGCGGGGCAACCUGGCGGCGAGUGGCGAACGGGUGAGUAAUAUAUCGGAACGUACCCUGGAGUGGGGGAUAACGUAGCGAAAGUUACGCUAAUACCGCAUACGAUCUAAGGAUGAAAGUGGGGGAUUCGCAAGAACCUCAUGCUCCUGGAGCGGCCGAUAUCUGAUUAGCUAGUUGGUGGGGUAAAGGCCUACCAAGGCAUCGAUCAGUAGCUGGUCUGAGAGGACGACCAGCCACACUGGAACUGAGACACGGUCCAGACUCCUACGGGAGCAGCAGUGGGAAUUUUGGACAAUGGGCGAAAGCCUGAUCCAGCAAUGCCGCGUGAGUGAAGACGGUCCGUUCGGUUGUGAAGUCUUCUUUUGUCGAAGG
rnacentral:rRNA from 1 species